rnacentral:lncRNA from 1 species
CCGCUUAUAAGAAAAGAAAACCUGGCUGGACAUUUUGACUCCCUAAAAUACCUUCAUAACAUGUGGUUACUGUUCAUCUUUUCUUUUUUCUUUUCUUCGUUUUGGCCUAGCUGUGGGAUAAACCCUUACAAUCUUUGAAAGGUCCGAGCACUGGCUUCCAUAUAACCUAAAUAAAGAAGUUCAUGGGGAGGUUCUCAUUGCAAAUCACAGGAUGUUAAGAGAAUGGUUGCCAUAUUAGCUUGGUAAAUGGCAGGUUUUUGCUGCCUUCACCCAUGAUGCAAGGGGCCUUGCAGGUCUGUGCAGC